rnacentral:rRNA from 1 species
UACGUAGGGUGCAAGCGUUGUCCGGAAUUAUUGGGCGUAAAGAGCUCGUAGGCGGUCUGUCGCGUCUGCUGUGAAAACUCAGGGCUUAACCCUGAGCUUGCAGUGGGUACGGGCAGACUUGAGUGCGGUAGGGGAGACUGGAAUUCCUGGUGUAGCGGUGAAAUGCGCAGAUAUCAGGAGGAACACCGGUGGCGAAGGCGGGUCUCUGGGCCGUAACUGACGCUGAGGAGCGAAAGCAUGGGGAGCGAACAGG